rnacentral:rRNA from 1 species
GACGAACGCUGGCGGCGUGCUUAACACAUGCAAGUCGAACGGAAAGGCCCUGCUGUCGUCGCGUGCUCGAGUGGCGAACGGGUGAGUAACACGUGAGUAACCUGCCCGUCACCUUGGGAUAACUUCAGGAAACUGGGGCGAAUACCGGAUACGAGCUCCUGCUGUAUGGUUGGCGUUGGAAAGUUUCGGCGGUGGGGGAUGGACUCGCGGCUGAUCAGCAUGUUGGUGGGGUAGUGGCUUACCAAGGCUUUGACGGGUAGCCGGCCUGAGAGGGGGACCGGCCACAGUGGGAGUGAGAUACGGCAGAGACUAGUACGGGAGGCAGCAGAGGGGGAGAUAGCAUGAAGGACGGAAGCCUGGUGCAGCAAGGACGCGUGCGGGAUGACGGCCUUCGGGUGGUAGGGCGCUACGGGGCGUGAGGGAGGGUGAGUGACGGUAAUGGGUGAAGAAGCACCGGCUAACUCCGUG